rnacentral:rRNA from 1 species
GGCUAAUCUGCCCUUAGGACGAGAACAACCCCGGGAAACUGGGGCUAACUCUUGAUAGGUGAAGAACUCUGGAAUGAGUCUUUGCCUAAAAAGAUUCACGUUAUCCUCGUGAACCUGCCUAAGGAUGAGGCCGCGACCGAUCAGGUUGUUGGCGAGGUAAUGGCUCACCAAGCCUUUUACCGGUGCGGGCCGUGGGAGCGGGAGCCCGGAGAUGGGUACUGAGACAAGGACCCAGGCCCUACGGGGCGCAGCAGUCGCGAAACCUUUGCAAUACACGAAAGUGUGACAGGGCUAUCCCGAGUGCCAUCCGCUGAGGAAGGCUUUUACCCAGUCUAGAACGCUGGGGGAAUAAGGAGAGGGCAAGUCUGGUGUCAGCCGCCGCGGUAAUACCAGCUCUCCGAGUGGUGUGGAUGUUUAUUGGGCCUAAAGCAUCCGUAGCUGGCUAGGUAAGUCCCUUGUUAAAUCCACCGAAUUAAUCGUUGGAUCGCGGGGGAUACUGCUUGGCUAGGGGACGAGAGAGGCAGACGGUAUUUUCGGGGUAGGGGUGAAAUCCUAUAAUCCCGGGAAGACCACCAGUGGCGAAGGCUGUCUGCUAGAACGCGCCCGACGGUGAGGGAUGAAAGCUGGGGGAGCGAACCGGAUUAGAUACCCGGGUAGUCCCAGCUGUAAACGAUGCAGACUAGGUGUUUGGACGGCCACGUGCCGUUCUAGUGCCGCAGGGAAGCUGUUAAGUCUGCCGCCUGGGGAGUACGAUCGCAAGAUUGAAACUUAA